AAUAUUGGACAAUGGACGAAAGUCUGAUCCAGCCAUGCCGCGUGAAGGAUUAAGGUCCUCUGGAUUGUAAACUUCUUUUAUAUGGGACGAAAAAAGGGCAUUCUUGCUCACUUGACGGUACCAUAUGAAUAAGCACCGGCUAACUCCGUGCCAGCAGCCGCGGUAAUACGGAGGGUGCAAGCGUUAUCCGGAUUCACUGGGUUUAAAGGGUGCGUAGGCGGAUAGAUAAGUCAGUGGUGAAAGCCUGGAGCUUAACUCCAGAACUGCCAUUGAUACUAUUUAUCUUGAAUAUUGUGGAGGUUUGCGGAAUAUGUCAUGUAGCGGUGAAAUGCUUAGAUAUGACAUAGAACACCUAUUGCGAAGGCAGCAGGCUACACAUAUAUUGACGCUGAGGCACGAAAGCGUGGGGAUCAAACAGG
rnacentral:rRNA from 1 species